rnacentral:lncRNA from 1 species
GUCGGAGCAAAAACAGGAAAUUGGAUACCACAUGGUAUAAGCAGUUGGAAGUUGCCAGACCCAGAGGGUAGGGACAGAAUGUGGCCAGGGCUGAAGAGGUAGGGCACCGAGUGUUGGGUGCUGCCCCUCAAGACAUGAGAAUAGCAGAAGGGACUCAGGGCACACAAGGGGGUGAGUGUGGCACCGAGCCCCUCGUACUACUUGCCAUGGCUGCUUUCACUUUCUGUCCGCUGCCAUCUCAGAGACUGGAUAUCCUGGGCUGGGCCCUGGGCCUGGAGCAGGGUCUCCCUGGUGAGUUCCAAGGGACACCUGCAUCAGGAACGCCUGGGAGUUUGUUCAAAUGCCCAGUCUGAGCACCACCAGGACAUACUGAACCACAAGCUCAGGGCAGAGGAACUAACAUUUUAAACAAAUUCUUUAAGUGGCUUUGCCCCAUCCUUUUGUUAUCAAUUUCAAACAUACACCAACAAACUUGAAAAAGUGAGAUGCUCACCCACACAUCACUACCUCCGUUACUCACAUUCUCUGUGUGUGUGUAUGUGUGUGUGUGUGUGUGUGUACAUGCUUGACUGGACCAUUUGCAAAUUAGCUGCAGACAUCACAAUCCUUUACCCUAAACACCUUUGAAGGACAAGAGCAUUCUCCUCCAUCUCCUCUACCAUUACCACGCCUGAGAAAAUUAACAGUAAUUCAGUAAUGCCACCUUACGGUCCAGAUUCAGAUUUCC